GCCGAGGUGGCGGAACUGGCAGACGCGCUAGGUUGAGGGCCUAGUGGGCUAACCAUGCUCGUAUGGGUUCAAGUCCCAUCCUCGGCACCA
rnacentral:tRNA from 1 species